rnacentral:rRNA from 1 species
AUUGAACGCUGGCGGCAGGCCUAACACAUGCAAGUCGAACGGUAACAGGAAGCAGCUUGCUGCUUCGCUGACGAGUGGCGGACGGGUGAGUAAUGUCUGGGAAGCUGCCUGAUGGAGGGGGAUAACUACUGGAAACGGUAGCUAAUACCGCAUAAUGUCGCAAGACCAAAGAGGGGGACCUUCGGGCCUCUUGCCAUCGGAUGUGCCCAGAUGGGAUUAGCUUGUUGGUGGGGUAACGGCUCACCAAGGCGACGAUCCCUAGCUGGUCUGAGAGGAUGACCAGCCACACGGGAACUGAGACACGGUCCAGACUCCUACGGGAGGCAGCAGUGGGGAAUAUUGCACGAUGGGCGCAAGCCUGAUGCAGCCAUGCCGCGUGUAUGAAGAAGGCCUUCGGGUUGUAAAGUACUUUCAGCGGGGAGGAAGGGAGUAAAGUUAAUACCUUUGCUCAUUGACGUUACCCGCAGAAGAAGCACCGGCUAACUCCGUG